AAGUCGAACGAUGAAGCCCUUCGGGGUGGAUUAGUGGCGAACGGGUGAGUAACACGUGGGCAAUCUGCCCUGCACUCUGGGACAAGCCCUGGAAACGGGGUCUAAUACCGGAUAUUGACCAUCGCGGGCAUCCGUGAUGGUGGAAAGCUCCGGCGGUGCAGGAUGAGCCCGCGGCCUAUCAGCUUGUUGGUGAGGUAAUGGCUCACCAAGGCGACGACGGGUAGCCGGCCUGAGAGGGCGACCGGCCACACUGGGACUGAGACACGGCCCAGACUCCUACGGGNNNNN
rnacentral:ncRNA from 1 species